CAGGGAUUGAGAGUGUCAUUUCAAAGAAGGUUAAACUCACAGUGAAGGCAGGACUGCAGUGCCAAGACAGACCCUGGGUGAGAAGGAGUGAAGCCCUGACAUGGGAAGGGGACAGCUGGGUGGAUGUCCCUGAACAUCUUUGACUUCCAGACCCCCUAACCCUCUGGGCCUACAGAAGUGCCACCCACCGAUAAGAGCAUCCUCGCCUUGAAGAGAUGGAGAGGCCAUUCCCUCUCCAGACCAGGUGUUACAAUGUCCUCAGGGUCUGUCCCCACCUCCUGCCAUGAGGCAUGUGACUCAGUUAAAGUCACAGCCUAACACAGCAGAGCACGUGCUGUGGGCGAGGAAAGAGGAAGAGCCGUGCACCCCAAAUAAGCCAUGUAGUGGGUUUAAGAGUGUUCUUCAGAAGAUAUGUCCAGGAGGGGGUACUGCUCUAAAAUGUCCAGCAGGUGGACCACAUGGGUCCAGGAACCAACGGGUGGGAGCAGGUGUGGCUCCCCACUGUCCCCCCAGUGACCCACUGGGAGUUUGGGCUCCUUGUCCCACAGCUCCCAGGUGGUGGGUUUAGAUGUCCUGGUCCCAGAGGAGGACCGCUUCUGCCAGGGGACACAGCCACAGUCCCACUGAGCUGAGGGUCACAGCCACUACCAGGGCACUCUGGCUCCCUGUGUCCAGGACCAAGAGGCCGGAAGAGGAGUGACCUGCCCAGCAGGGGAGCUGACCUAACCAUUGAGAGGAGGCAGGGCCUGGGACGGGACAGGAGCAGGGAGUGUGCCCUGCUGGCCCACAUGGCUCCUCCCCUGCCUGCUUCUGGCAGUAAACAGACAAGUGUGGUAGGGGGCGAGGGGAGUGCGGGGCGGAUCAUGGAGAUGAGACCCUGAGUGCCCAGUGCAACCCCACCACCCACUGUGGUCCAGAGCAUCUAUGAAGAAGUGGAUCUGAGCAGUGAAGGGGGGACUACAGUGGAUGUGAAGACACACCACCCGCUCUCCCUUCUGGGAGAAUUGGUUGCCCCAGCUGCUGAGGGUGCUGUCACCAGGCAGCCCUUGGGGAUUGUCACAGCUGCAGAGCCAUCUCAUCUGGAGCAGCCACAUCAAAGACUGUACAGAGGCCGGGGCAUUCUGGCCAUGGCAGGACAAUUCUGAUGGGUCACCUCAGCUCAGGCCUUCUGGAGAUGGCAAGCAGAGGCCUGACGAGAUUGUCAGCAGAGCCUGGAGAAAGAGGACCAUGUCAGUGACAAGUCAGUGAGGCUGCUGCCUACAGUCACUUGGAAGGCAAAAAGGUACCUAAUGAACUGGUUAUAGGUAAGGAGAGUUCUGGGAAAAUGUGAAGUUGCCUGUUAUGGGUUGAAUUGUGUCCUUCUCCCUCAAAAGAUGUGUUGAUCCUGGACUUGAGGCCUAAGCUGGGUGCUGUGAUGAGAUGAGAUACUGGGGGUCUUGGGAGGGGCCAGAAGAUGGGCUGCCUAUAUUCAGGGCCCCCACGAGCCUCCUGGUGUUCACAUACUUGGCAAACUCCUUCCACAGUGACUCUGGGCUUGCCCACAUGACCUUACUUGGUCACUGGGACAUUAGUAUGAUGGGACAUUAGUAUGAUGACGCAUGCAAAUGCUUAAUGGGAUGGUGGCCCAUUGCAUCAGGUCCUCCUGUAACACUCCCUCCCAGAAACCAGUAGCAAGAUAGUGUGCUGAAUGAUGAGAGAGAAUGAUGAUGGAAAGAGGCCCUGGAGGAUGGGCAUCGUCUUGGACAUUCUUGCCCCUGCUGACCUCCCAGCUGAUGCAGCCACAUGAACUAUCCCAGCCACAUGCAAGUAGUAGAACCCCCCAGCCAAGCCCAGCCAGCCCACAAAAUCAUGAGAACAAGUAAAUCAAUGCUGUUUUAAGCCCUUAAGUUUAGGGUAGUUGGUUAUGUAGUAACAGAGAGCUGAAGCCCCUUGUCCUUCACCCCUCCACUCUCUGCCUUCCCAGCUCAGGUCCCAUGGUCAAGAAUUAUAAUUACUCCCUUGCCCCUCCAACUCAUAUUUUCCUGGCUAAGCCCCAACUCUUGUUAGAUCAAACUACCACCUACUCCAGACCUACAUCCAAGCAGCAAAACUUUGCUGGAGAAAAACAUAAAACCAUGCUUAACUGGUCCUUUAACUUUAUAACACAUUUCUAGUGGGCUUUGCACACUGCCAGACAAUCUUGUAUACUUUUCUCAUCCAGUUACCCUCCCAUUCUCUGGGAAGACUAUUUCAUACCCUGUCUUUUUUCCUUGAAACCUCC
rnacentral:lncRNA from 1 species